CACGAACAGGGGGGUAGGAGAAAUAUCAUCUAUUCCAUAUAUUUCCAAAAGCAAAGAGAAUCCAAUUAAAAGCAUCUACAUCAAAAUUAAACUCCAACAGAUGGGAGGAUGAGGUUGUUACUGAGGAUAGUACCGUACAUAAUGACAUAACAAAAUAUUUAAAUCUUAAAAUUUCAAUUAAAGAAGAGGAUAUACUUCAAAAGGAUGUCCUACUUUGGUGGAAACGACAAGAAAAAGAUUUGCAAAAGCUAUCAAGAUUAGCAAGAAAAAUAUUAGGAAUUCCUGCAACUAGUGC